rnacentral:tRNA from 1 species
GUAGUUAAAGUAUCUUAGGAGUACGCCUUAGUUACAUUAAGGAGGUCUUGACUGUUUCAAGUGACU